rnacentral:misc_RNA from 1 species
GGUGUUUGAUGCAUAUUGAAGCAAUUGAGAAAACGGUAGAAUAUUUGUAUACAUAUUAUUAGUGAAUUCGGUUUAGACAAGACGACGAGGCCCUACCAGCAAUAUCUUUCGAAAAUCACUGUUUGGAUCACUUCCUUCUUACGUUUGGGGAACUGUGGGAGCUAUUUUUUUCAUUUCUUUCGGAAGAAUUCUCAUCUGAAUUAUGCAUUAUUCAUCGUUAAAUCUCAUCUAAACUGAAUUUACUUACAACAAUUGGAGGAAGUGAAUUGCCAUUAGAGGCGAAUAAUUUGAAGUUAGUUUUACAGAAGAUUUGGCAGUUGUUAAUGCGCCUCCAAUUUUCGUUGGAGGCGGAUCUGCACUUUAAAGAGAUUUGGAUACAGAAUUUUCCAGAUUUACGCAACGACUUAAUCAGCGAAAUUCGGUUGAAUUGUGUGUAAUUACUUGAUCUGGCGAAUACACAAUUCAAGUGUGUGGAUGGAGCUGCCUCAGCCCAGACCUUUUGGAACAGAAGGGAGGAAGACGACUCAUGACUUUCUUUCACUGUAUUCACCUGUUCAACAAGAUCCAAGACCUCCCCAAGGUGGCUACCUGAAGACUCAUGACUUCUUGCAACCACUGGAGCAAGCAGAGAAGACAUUAAGGGAAGAAGAAACCAAUGUUGAAGUAGCAACUGUGGAGAAGCCUCCGCCACCAGUAGCUGCUACUCCUUCAGGGGAGCAUAUUCUUCCUGGUGGCAUAGGCACCUUCAGUAUUUCUUAUUUGCACCAAAGGAUACCAAAACCAGAGGCAAGCUUGUUCUCUGUAGCACAAGCAAGUAGUACCGACAGAAAUGAUGAAAAUUCAAACUGUAGUUCUUACACAGGGAGUGGUUUCACACUGUGGGAUGAAUCUGCAGUCAAGAAGGGAAAGACAGGGAAGGAGAAUUCUGGGGGUGAUCGACACGUCCUAAGAGAAGGAGGUGUGAACACUGGAGGUGUUCAGCCAACGACAUCAUUAGAGUGGCAGUCACAAUCAUCUUCAAAUCAUAAGCACAACACUACGGCCUUAAGUUCGCUCUCAUCUGCUCAUCAAUCAUCGCCCCUUAAGAGCCAAAGUUUCUUGCAUAUGAUAACAUCAGCAAAGAGUGCACAAGAUGACGAUGAUGAUGAUGAUGAAGAUUU